AUGCACCCGGUUUGUGCACCGUCCACACCCACCUGCCAGCCGCUCGCUCCGUUUUGGCAGCC
rnacentral:sRNA from 2 species